GGAUGGACAGACCAGGCCUCUCACACUGGGCAGACAGGGGCCCUGGGAUGGACAGACCAGGCCUCUCACACUGGGCAGACAGGGGUCCUGGGAUGGACAGAUCAGGCCUCUCUCACUGGGCAGACAGGGGUCCUGGGAUGGACAGCUCAGGCCUCUCUCACUGGGCAGACAGGGGUCCUGGGAUGGACAGACCAGGCCUCUCUCACUGGGCAGACAGGGGUCCUGGGAUGGACAGCUCAGGCCUCUCUCACUGGGCAGACAGGGGUCCUGGGAUGGACAGACCAGGCCUCUCUCACUGGGC
ensembl:lncRNA